rnacentral:rRNA from 1 species
UGAGGAAUAUUGGUCGAUGGGCGUAAGCCUGAACCAGCCAUCCCGCGUGCAGGAAGAAGGCGCUAUGCGUCGUAAACUGCUUUUCCAGGGGAAGAAAACCUGCUACGUGUAGCGGCUUGCCGGUACCUUGGGAAUAAGCAUCGGCUAACUCCGUGCCAGCAGCCGCGGUAAUACGGAGGAUGCGAGCGUUAUCCGGAUUUAUUGGGUUUAAAGGGUGCGUAGGCGGAUUAAUAAGUCAGUGGUGAAAACCUUCAGCUUAACUGGAGAACUGCCAUUGAUACUGUUAGUCUUGAGUACGGUCAAGGUAGGCGGAAUGUGUAAUGUAGCGGUGAAAUGCUUAGAUAUUACACAGAACACCGAUUGCGAAGGCAGCUUACUGGGCCAUUACUGACGCUGAUGCACGAAAGCGUGGGGAGCGAACA